UUCAAAUAUCUGCCCUUAUCAACUUUCGAUGGUAGGAUAGAGGCCUACCAUGGUUUCAACGGGUAACGGGGAAUUAAGGGUCCGAUUCCGGAGAGGGAGCUGAGAAACGGCUACCACAUCCAAGGAAGGCAGCAGGCGCGCAAAUUACCCAAAUCCCGACACGGGGAGGUUAGUGACAAAUAAAUAACAAUAUAGGGCUCUUUAGGGGUCUUAUAAUUGGAA
rnacentral:rRNA from 1 species